AACGAACGCUGGCGGCGUGCUUAACACAUGCAAGUCGAACGGAAAGGCCCUGCUUGCAGGGUACUCGAGUGGCGAACGGGUGAGUAACACGUGGGUGAUCUGCCCUUCACUUCGGGAUAAGCCUUGGAAACUGGGGCUAAUACCGGAUAGGAGCCAUUUUUAGUGUGAUGGUGGGAAAGUUUUUUCGGUGUAGGAUGAGCUCGCGGCCUAUCGGCUUGUUGGUGGGGUAAUGGCCUACCACGGCGGCGACGGGUAGCCGGCCUGAGAGGGUGGACGGCAACAUUGGGACUGAGAUACGGCCCAGACUCCUAAGGGAGGAAGAAGUGGGGAAUAUUGAACAAGGGGCGCAAGCCUGAUGCAGAGACGCCGCGUGGGGGAUGACGGCCUUGGGGUUGUAAACUCCUUUCGCUAGGGACGAAGCUUUUUGUGACGGUACCUAGAUAAGAAGCACCGGCUAACUACGUG
rnacentral:rRNA from 1 species